GCCUUCGUGGUGUAAUGGUCAGCACACUGAGCCGUUAUUCAGAGGUCCGUGGUUAGAUUCCCGGCGAAGGAA
rnacentral:tRNA from 1 species